rnacentral:lncRNA from 1 species
CUUACUGGAUGUGGACCCGGGCUAUCGGGUUUUGGGGUAACGGGUUUAGAACUUACCCGUUACCACCCGUCUUCAACCUCUCGACGGUUCGGGAAGACGCCGAUCUUCGAGGCGGCGGCUGCGGGCUCGGGGCAGGUAACACGAUGGCUGCUCCGUGACCUGCGGCGGCGGCGAGAUCACGGCCACGACUUCGUGGGCUGAAGCGAAGCUCUGCGGCGCCGGACGGCGGCCGGCGAGGGAUGGCCGGUCACGGUGGCAGCCGAAGGCGGCUUCCGGCGGUGCAGGCGGAAGCGGGGUGGCGCUGCAGGCGGUCUGUUCGUCGGCGGAAUUCGGUUC